rnacentral:lncRNA from 1 species
GUGUAUUAAAUACAAAUGUCUAUGUGGUAAUUCCAAUGGUUCUGGUAAUCGUUGGAGUACAAGACCAAAUAGAAUACAAAAAGGCUCUACAGAGAGCAAUUACUUCUAGAACUAGAAAAAAAAAAUACUAAUAAAUAUCAUUUAUGAUACUACCUCUGGUCCUAUUUAUAAGAGAAAUUUAGGUCAACAAAAGUGAAUGUAUUUGGACUGAAUUUUUAACUAGAUACAUCAACUUUUGUUGACCCAAAAUUCUCUUAUAAAUAGGACCGGAGGUAGUAAAAUAUUCUAUGAUAUGUAAUUUAAUUAUUGUGUUGGCACCCAAUACUUGAAUUGUUUUUUUCUCUUCUUCUCUAAUUUCAAAGACCAUGCAGUUAUGGCUUGGUACUAUAAGACGAUGAUAAUGAAAUGAAAUAAAUCAUAAAAUAUUAUUAUUUAGAAUAUCA